AGAGAACCUCGGUUCUCACGGGACGUACAAUUGCUAUUAAACGAUAACAAAAGUUACAUGUGUCAUGUUCCAUCUCAUGAUGACAUGACCCUCUGUGUGCUUAGUAAAAUGGCAUGCCCACUAUGCAACAGCACAUUAAAAACAAAAGCAGGAGUCAUGACAUGUGAUAUGUGGUUAACACGGGGCAAAUCAUGCUAAUCUCACAUUUAAAUAUCUCUUUUUAAUCUCCAAAUAAUUCAGACAGAAAAUAGCCGGCAGGUUCCAGUUGUUUAAGAGAGAAGAGAGUCGUGGAAGAGAAGACAGAAGGCCCACGCCUGCCUUCUCUCAUUUAUCCACUCAGCACGCCCCACCACCAACAAAGCACUCUUCUAGUGCUAGAGUUCUCUUUGGACCACGGAGAUCCCCUGCUCCCCCUUGUACCUUCCAGCAUGUUCUUAGCCCACGUGCAGAGCCCUCUUCUGCAGUUGGAGCCUGCCCCCCGUCUUCCGCACAGAUGCACCUCAAGUUUAAGAUUGUGUAUGAACCUUCCACCAAUGCCGUCCACGACACAUGCAGAGCCAGAAGAUCCAGGGCACGAGGUGAACGUCGAAAGGCGCGGCUCCGCCUCUCAGGGAAGACCGCGGCUUCUCGGGAGCUGGAACAUCCUGCCAGAGACCUUGGCAGCGCCUGCGCGAGCUGCCCCGUGAACGCCAGGA
rnacentral:lncRNA from 1 species